UGCAGCCCGAGGAGAGAACAGAGCAUUGGC
rnacentral:piRNA from 1 species